GACGAACGCUGGCGGCGUGCUUAACACAUGCAAGUCGAACGGAAAGGCCCUGCUUUUGUGGGGUGCUCGAGUGGCGAACGGGUGAGUAACACGUGAGUAACCUGCCCUUGACUUUGGGAUAACUUCAGGAAACUGGGGCUAAUACCGGAUAGGAGCUCCUGCUGCAUGGUGGGGGUUGGAGAGUUUCGGCGGUUGGGGAUGGACUCGCGGCUUAUCAGCUUGUUGGUGGGGUAGUGGCUUACCAAGGCUUUGACGGGUAGCCGGCCUUGGAGGUUGACCGGCCACAUUGGGACUGAGAUACGGCCCAGACUGCUACGGGAGGCAGCAGGGGGGAAUAUGGCGCAAUGGGCGGAAGCCUGAUGCAGCAACGCCGCGUGCGGGAUGACGGCCUUCGGGGUGUAAACCGCUUUCGCCUGUGACGAAGCGUGAGUGACGGUAAUGGGUAAAGAAGCACCGGCUAACUACGUG
rnacentral:rRNA from 1 species